GUGAGUGGGCAGCACAUACUUUGAGACUCCGCAGGGCAGAAUUAGAGGGCCCAGGGACCAGGGGAGCCCCAUACCACUGAAGGGCUGGUUUCUUCCCUUCAUGAAGCUUUUCCUUCCGGCCACCCACGGGGACCCUGACAUGUGCAGGGCACCUCAGGAGAGAAAGGCAGAGCUCCGUCUUCAACUCAACACAGAAGAAAAACCCGCAUUUUUCAAAGCAGCGAAGACUCAGAUGGGAGCAUCAGGAGGAGAGGCCAUCCUGGUGGUCUGGGGCUGUGGAGCCAGGCUCUGAGGACUCAGUGGGCCACUGACUUGGGGUGAGGAGAGCAAGGGCUAGCCAGGCAGAGCCACAAUAAAAAUGAUGACAGCUAAUGGUAAUUAGGGGUUGAAAUUUGUACCUCCUUCGCUAUGAGCAUAAAGUGAGAUGCUCCGAGACAGUGCGCAGGCCUGGCACCUGAGCGCACCUGCAGUUGUAGCUGUGAUUAUUACUACUCAGGCAGCCACAGCAAACUGAGCACUGUGCCCUGUACCCUGGGUGCCCUUUCUGACUUUCCCUGCCCCCUCACCGCCCGGUCCUUCAGCGCUGGGACCCUGUGUGACAGCGCGGCAGCCCUACACCUGUGUGGCUUGUCAUGGAUUCUGCCACACCACACAGUGGAUUAGGAUGCCUUGUUCCUUCACGUUAGCUGUGCCGUUUCUACCAGGAGACAAUUAGCGAAGAGGAACGCAGGAUUCUGCAGCUCAAACGUCGCCGGCUCCGGAUGCCUCCUCAACUCCCCCAUUCUGGGUGGCCCUCAAGGGUGAGCACCAGGUGGUGUGUAUGGGGUUGCUCAUGGCUGCCUCUCACACAGGACCCUAUGCUCCUUAGAACACAUUUUUAAACAUUUAAUCCUCAGUGCCCAGCACAGUUCCUGAAUUAUAUUAGGUGCUAAAUGCACGGGUUAGCAGCAAGUUCUAUUUCCGAGCUACAGAUUCGACUUUGAAUCAAAAAAGACCUUAAUUAUUCCACACCUCAGUCUCUAUCUAAGGCCCCAUUUCUGUCUCAUGGUGGAAUCCCACAGUCAGUUCCAGUUAAUCCACCACUUCUGAGACCCCUGCCCCACAAUCCACUUUACGCUCGAUUUAUUCCGUUUUCCUUUUCCUCACUUUUAUAGCAGAGUCCAAGUUGGGGGGCCUCUGUGAGGAGUCCAGGCAUCCUGGGGGGUGUUCAAGCCUUGCCGGCCUGGGCUCCUUCCUUUGUGUCGGCAUCGUCCUGCAGCCUUUGCUGAGACGCAUUUGCCACAGGAAGAAAGGGGACAAGCUCUGGGAGCAGGGUCAGGUGGCUUUAUUACAGGAAAGGGGCCCCAAUCCAGACCCCAAGAGAGGGUUCUUGGAUCUCAUGCAAGAAAGAAUUCAGGGUGAGCCCAUAAAAUGAAAGCAAGUUUAUUAAGAAAGUAAAGGGCCAAGUUCGGUGGCUCAUGGUUGUAAUCCCAGCACUUUGGGAGGCCGAGGAGGGUGGAUUACCUGAGGUCAGGAGUUUGAGACCAGCCUGGUCAACAUGGUGAAACCCCGCUGUCUACUAAAAACACAAAAAUUAGCCAGACGAGGUGGCAGGCGCCUGUAAUCCUAGGUGCUUGUGAGGCUGAGGUGGGAGAAUUGCUUGAACUCAGGAGGCGGAGGUUGUAGUGAACUGAGAUUGCACCAUUGCACUCCAGUUUGGGCGACAGAGUGAGACUCCCGCUCAAAAAAAAAAAAAAAAAAGAAAAGUAAAGGAAUAAAAGAAUGGCUACUCCAUAGACAGAGCAGCCCUGCUGGUUGCCCAUUUUUAUGGUUAUUUCUUGAAGAUAUACUAAACAAGGAGUGGAUUAUUCAUGCCUCCCCUUUUAGACCAUGUAGGGUAACUUCCUGACAUUGGCAAGGCAUCUGUAAACUGUCACGGCGCUGGUGGCAGUGUAGCAGUGAGGACGAUCAGAGGUCACUCUCACGGCCAUCUUGGUUUUGGUGGGUUUUAGCCGGCUUCUUUACUGCAACCUGUUUUAUCAGCAGGGUUUUUAUGAUGACCUGUAUUUUGUGCUGACCUCCUAUCUCAUCCUGUGACUUAGAAUGCCUCACCAUCUGGGAAUGCAGCCCAGUAGGUCUCAGCCUCAUUUUAGCCAGCUCCUAAUCAAGAUGGAGUUGCUGUGGUUCAAACGCCUUUGACAGCUUCAUUCAUAUCAAAGAGCCCCUUGUCUUUGCCGAUCCUCCACCUCAACAUCCUACCUGAAAAAACAGAGCCGUGAGUAGGAGGUGGCAAUGAGGCAGGAGAAUAGGGCCUGGAGGCAGGGAACCUGGAAACACUUCAGUGAUGACAGCAAAUAUCUUCUUCAUUCACAAAGAGUGUACAUCGAGUAAAUGACUUUGUAACUUUACUUCAUCCUCUUCAUUUACACAGUAACCAAUGGAAACCUCUAGAGGGUAUUUAAACCCCAGAAAAUUCUGUAACUGGGCCUUAAGGCCGCUGGCUCAGGCCGCUCCCACCCUGUGGAGUGUGCUUUCAUUUUUAAUAAAUCUCUGCUUUUGUUGUUUCAUUCUUUCCUUGCAUUUUUUGUGGGUUUUGUCCAAUUCAUUGUUCAAAAUGCCAAGAACCUGGUAACAGUGACAGGCAGUCAGGUCCUCAGCUCCAUCUCCUGCCUCACAGGUGGGGAGAGCAGGAAGAGCACCUUCUCCCAGCUUUGAAUACGCAGAAAGGCCUCCUAGGUUCGGGCUGGUGUGGGAAGGAAAGGCGGGUGGUUUUUGUAGGUGUCUGCUCGUCACACUAAAGUGGGGAGGAUGUUUAGGCGGUUGGGGGCAGGGCUUGUGUUGCCCACCAAGGGGUAGAGCAACUGUGUGGGAGGCUGGCAGAAUGGCCGAGAGGCUCAGUAAGAAAAGGAACAUCUAUUUUGCCACUGGGGGUGGGCUGGGACCUGUCUGUCUUCCCAAGAUUUCAAUAAUGUUGGCUACACCCAAGUUGGAGUGCUCGCCUGGGGAAGGAAGGGAGGUUCUUUCUAUCCCAGGUUUGAAACAUUUCCCACCCCCUUGCCUUUGGGGAGGCUCUGGGGAAGGCCACUGCAUAUACCCCAAGACUUUGGUCCCGGUGUGACCAGCAG
rnacentral:lncRNA from 10 species